rnacentral:rRNA from 1 species
UAGGGAAUAUUGGACAAUGGGCGCAAGCCUGAUCCAGCCAUGCCGCGUGAGUGAAGAAGGCCCUCGGGUUGUAAAGCUCUUUUGUCCGGAAAGAAAAGCAUCGGGUUAAUACCCCGGUGUUCUGACGGUACCGGAAGAAUAAGCACCGGCUAACUUCGUGCCAGCAGCCGCGGUAAUACGAAGGGUGCAAGCGUUACUUGGAAUUACUGGGCGUAAAGCGUGCGUAGGUGGUUCGUUAAGUCUGAUGUGAAAGCCCUGGGCUCAACCUGGGAAUGGCAUUGGAAACUGGCGGACUGGAGUGCGGUAGAGGGUAGCGGAAUUCCCGGUGUAGCAGUGAAAUGCGUAGAGAUCGGGAGGGACAUCCGUGGCGAAGGCGGCUACCUGGACCAGCACUGACACUGAGGCACGAAAGCGUGGGGAGCAAACA